rnacentral:rRNA from 1 species
UGUCUUUUCCGGCUUGGGGAGCAAUCCUCUUCGGGAAGGGCACUCUCUCCACAUUGUGGACCAUCCCUAUUUGUUUUGGCGAUUUUUUUCGCGAAAGCAGAAAGGGCCACUCCGUCACUGAGAGCAAAUUGGAGUGCUCAAAGCAGGCUUUACAGCUUUGAACAUAUUAGCUUGGAAUGACAAGAUACGACUCUGGUCGGUUUAUUUUGUUGGUUAUUUAGACUAGAGUAAUGAUUAACAGGAACAGUAGCGGGGGUACUCGUAUUGAAAGGUCAGAGGUGAAAUUCUUGGAUUCUUUCAAGACGAACGACUGCGAAAGCAUUUACCAAGGAUGUUUUCAUUAAUCAAGAACGAAAGCUUGGGGAUCGAAGAUGAUUAGAUACCAUCGUAGUCCAACGCCAUAAACGAUGCCGACUCGGGAUUGGUAGGUGUUCUUUUUAAAACAUGAACCCUAUCAGCACCGUAUGAGAAAUCAAAGUCUUUGGGUUCCGGGGGGAGUAUAGUCGCAAGGAAGAAACUUAAAGGAAUUGACGGAAGGGCACACCAGAGGUGGAGCCUGCGGUUUAAUUUGACCCAACACGGGGAAACUUACCAGGUCCAGACAUGAUGAGGAUUGACAGUUUGAAAGCACUUUCUUGAUUUCAUGGGUGGUGGUGCAUGGCCGUUCUUAGUUGGUGGAGUGAUUUGUCUGGUUGAUUCCGAUAACGAACGAGACGGGGGGAGUUUACUAGUUUUGCAUAAUCUAAUUCGCGUUAGAUGGAACAUCUUUACUCGACAACUCGGUUUUACCGAGAGGAAGCACCCCGCAAUAACAGGUCUGUGAUGCCCUUAGAUGUUCUGGGCUACACGCGCGCUACAAUGACGAGUUCAACGAGUUUGUUUUAUUCCUUGUCCGGAAGGAUGUGGGUAAUCUUUUCAAUGCUCGUCGUGAUGGGGCUAGAUUUUUGCAAUUAUUAAUCUUCAACGAGGAAUCUCUACUAUGUGCAGUUCAUCAGACUGCGCAGAAUGCGUCCCUGCCCUUUGUACACACCGCCCGUCGCACCUACCGAUUGGACGAUCCGGCAAGAUGUUUGGAGUGUUGUGUUUGUGAUGUAAAAGUCGUGAACAUGACGCAAAGCUCUUCAAACCUUAUCGUCUAGAGGAAGGUGAAGUCGUAACAAGGUCUCCGUAGGUGAACCUGCGGAGGG